AUGACAGAUCAGACUCGUAAGUCAGAUAAAUGGCUCGUUACACUGUAUGUUCAUGACAGACCUCUAGAAUUCCGCAUAGGAGCUAAAUGUAACGUUAUUGUCAAGUCACAGUACAUAAGAGCAGACUUACACGGCAAUGAGCAGAAGUCACAGAAAAUACUGCGUUCAUUCACAAACCACAAAAUUUGUCCUGAAUUCUGCGUUGACUUACCACUCACCAGUCAUAUUGGUGAUACACCUAUUACAACUAAGUUUGACGUAGUAAACGUUUCGCAGGAAAACAUCAUAACUGGUUCUACAGCCGAAAAGCUUAACCUCAUUAUGCGUGUGGACACUGUUGAAUGUGAUUCGGUGCAGCUAGGAGAGUUUAGUGACUUCCAAGAUCUAAUCCGUACCACUGGAACCCUUCCAGGAGAACACAGCAUUAAAAUUGAUGAACAUGCAAAAGGUGUGAUUUACCCAGUGCGCCGUCAGCCCGCAUCGUUAAAGCCAAGAAUCACCGAAAAGCUGAGAGAGAUGGAAUCAGAUGGAUACAUUGUACCCGUUGAAGAACCUACCGAAUGGGACAACACCACUAGAGGAAGUGAAUCUAUCUCCAUCACAACUUCUAAUGGGAAGGAGGCCACGCAAUACAUUACCUGUAGUAUCAGAUAUUUUGCGACCAAAGAUCCAAAAUCUUGGAAGUAUAACGCAGAGUCUACAGUCAGUCAAGAACAAGCAGAAAGCCAGUUUCGACAACAAAUGGAACAACAAAGAGCUGUUGCCGCUCUAUCCAACCGACCCGAUACGAGUCAAGCCACAGCAGGGAGAGAAGGAAUGGAUUCCUGGAGUGAUUGUACGUCAUAACAUCAUUUAGGAAUACUACGCAGUGCUACAAGAGUCAGAGUUCAUUCUGUUAGUUAUCAUUACCACAAUUCAUUACCACAACUCAUUGCGCAGUAUCUAGGUGUACAUAAGUAUCAUAGUGACCAAUAUGUAAUACUAGCAAUUCAAGGUCAUGGCAUGGCUAUCUUACAUGUAGAUAAUAAUAGCAAUAGCAAAAAAUACAUUUUCCCAAAAAACUGCCC
rnacentral:sRNA from 1 species